rnacentral:rRNA from 1 species
GACAGAGGGUGCAAGCGUUGUUCGGAAUUACUGGGCGUAAAGCGCGUGUAGGCUGUCUCGCAAGUCGGGUGUGAAAGCCCUGGGCUCAACCUAGGAAGUGCACUCGAAACUGCGAGACUUGAGUCCUGGAGAGGAAGGCGGAAUUCUCGGUGUAGAGGUGAAAUUCGUAGAUAUCGAGAGGAACACCGGUGGCGAAGGCGGCCUUCUGGACAGUGACUGACGCUGAGACGCGAAAGCGUGGGGAGCAAACAGG